CCGAUCCGUCGUCGGGGUUGACAGUCCCCAUGGCGCCGCCUCUGGCCCCGCUCCCUCCCCGGGACCCAAACGGGGCCGGACCCGAGUGGGGGGAGCCGGGGGCUGUGAGCUUCGCGGACGUGGCCGUGUACUUCUGCCGGGAGGAGUGGGGCUGCUUGCGGCCCGCGCAGAGGGCCCUGUACCGGGACGUGAUGCGGGAGACCUACGGCCACCUGAGCGCGCUCGGUGAGAGCCCCACCUGCUGGCCUGAGCCCUGCGCCCCCACAGGCCCUGCCGCGCCUCUGGGAGCUGCGCGUGAAGUUGGGGGCCCCGGGGUCGGGCAGGCGGCCUCCCCGCAGCGUGGGGUUUGCGUUCUUCUCCCCUAGGAAUCGGAGGCAACAAGCCAGCUCUCAUCUCCUGGGUGGAGGAGGAGGCCGAACUGUGGGAUCCGGCUGCCCAGGAUCCGGAGGUGGCGAAAUGUCAGACAGAAGCGGACCCAGAUUCCAGAAACAAGGAAGAGGAAAGACAAAGGGAAGGGACGGGAGCCCUGGAGAAGCCCGACCCUAUGGCCGCCGGGUCUCCUGGGCUGAAGGCUCCCCAAGCCCCCUCGGCCGGGCCCCCUUAUGGUUGGAAGCAGCCGUCCAAGGCACCGCACCGGGGACGCCCCUCCCUCUGUGCCCACCCCCCUGUCCCCCGAGCAGACCAGCGUCACGGCUGCUACGUGUGCGGGAAGAGCUUCGCCUGGCGCUCCACACUGGUGGAGCACGUCUACAGCCACACUGGCGAGAAGCCCUUCCACUGCACUGACUGCGGCAAGGGCUUCGGCCACGCUUCCUCCCUGAGCAAACACCGGGCCAUCCAUCGUGGGGAGCGGCCCCACCGCUGUCCGGAGUGUGGCCGGGCCUUCACGCAGCGUUCGGCGCUGACUUCGCACCUGCGCGUCCACACCGGCGAGAAACCCUAUGGCUGU
rnacentral:sRNA from 1 species